UACGUAGGGGCUAGCGUUGUCCGGAAUCAUUGGGCGUAAAGAGCGUGUAGGCGGUCCGGUAAGUCCGCUGUGAAAGUCGGGGCUCAACCCUCGAAUGCCGGUGGAUACUGUCGGGCUAGAGUGCGGAAGAGGCGAGUGGAAUUCCUGGUGUAGCGGUGAAAUGCGCAGAUAUCGGGAGGAACACCGGUGGCGAAGGCGGUUCUCUGGGCCUUACCUGACGCUGAGGAGCGAAAGCGUGGGGAGCGAACAGG
rnacentral:rRNA from 1 species